AGCGGCGGAUGGGUGAGUAACACGUGGGGAACCUGCCCUAAGUCUGGGAUACCAUUUGGAAACAGGUGCUAAUACCGGAUAAUAAAGCAGAUCGCAUGAUCAGCUUUUGAAAGGCGGCGUAAGCUGUCGCUAAGGGAUGGCCCCGCGGUGCAUUAGCUAGUUGGUAAGGUAACGGCUUACCAAGGCGACGAUGCAUAGCCGAGUUGAGAGACUGAUCGGCCACAUUGGGACUGAGACACGGCCCAAACUCCUACGGGAGGCAGCAGUAGGGAAUCUUCCACAAUGGACGCAAGUCUGAUGGAGCAACGCCGCGUGAGUGAAGAAGGUUUUCGGAUCGUAAAGCUCUGUUGUUGGUGAAGAAGGAUAGAGGUAGUAACUGGCCUUUAUUUGACGGUAAUCAACCAGAAAGUCACGGCUAACUACGUGCCAGCAGCCGCGGUAAUACGUAGGUGGCAAGCGUUGUCCGGAUUUAUUGGGCGUAAAGCGAGCGCAGGCGGAAAAAUAAGUCUAAUGUGAAAGCCCUCGGCUUAACCGAGGAACUGCAUCAGAAACUGUUUUUCUUGAGUGCAGAAGAGGAGAGUGGAACUCCAUGUGUAGCGGUGGAAUGCGUAGAUAUAUGGAAGAACACCAGUGGCGAAAGCGGCUCUCUGGUCUGCAACUGACGCUGAGGCUCGAAAGCAUGGGUAGCGAACAGGAUUAGAUACCCUGGUAGUCCAUGCCGUAAACGAUGAGUGCUAAGUGU
rnacentral:rRNA from 1 species